AUGGAUCCAGGACCGUGGAUGAGUAGUCCGGCUGCACUCUCAGUACUGUCAUGGAUCUGCGGCGGCCUCGUGGCCGCGGUGCUCCUCUGGCAAGCCGCCCGGCUGCUCGACCAGCUGUGGUGGCGGCCUAGGCGGCUGGAGCGGGCGCUCCGUGCGCAGGGCCUCCCCGGCACGCGGUACCGCUUCCUCCUCGGCGACGUCAACGACUACGCCCGGCAGACCAAGGCGGCGUCGUCGGGGCCGCCGAUGCCGCCGCGCUGCCACAACGUCGGCCCCCGCGCCAUGCCGUUCCUCUACAGCACCAUCCAGGAGCACGGCACGCCGUGCAUCUCCUGGUUCGGUCCCGUCCCCAAGGUGAGCAUCACCGACCCUGCCCUGGUCCGGGAGGUGAUGUCCAGCAAGCUCGCCCGCGACGUCGAGAAGUUCAAGUUCCCGGCGCUCACCAGGCUGCUCGCCGACGGGGUGGGGAACUACGAGGGCGACAGGUGGGCCAAGCACCGGAGGAUCCUCAACCCCGCCUUCCAUGCCGAGAAGCUCAAGGUGUGUAUGUCUCACUCACAUUCACGCAGUUGUUGUUCCACACUGUCUAUGUGCUUCUUGAUAUCCAUGGCUGGGCUGCUGAGCUUGGUUAAUUUGCAGCUCAUGUUGCCGGCGUUCACUGCGUGCUGUGAGGAGCUCGUUGGCCGGUGGGAACGGUCCCUUGGGCCUGACGGCUCCUGGGAGGUGGAUGUCUGCCCGGAGCUCCAGAGCCUGACCGGAGAUGUCAUCUCGCAGACGGCGUUCGGCAGCAGUUACCUGGAAGGGAGAAGGAUUUUUCAGCUGCAGACUGAGCAAAUUGGGCGAUUCAUGGCAGCGAUCAGCAAGAUUAUGAUUCCCGGUUACAUGUCCUUUCCUACCAAAAAUAACCGAAGGAUGCAUCAAAUUAACAACGAGAUUGAGUCCAUCUUGCGGGGCAUAAUUGCAAAAAGGAUGCAAGCUAUUCAGGAAGGAGAAAGAACAAAAGAUGACUUACUCGGCUUAUUACUAGAGUCUAACAUGACAGACACAGAUGAAAAUGGCCAAUCCACCCUAGGAAUGUCAUCAGAUGAAGUCAUGGAGGAGUGCAAGUUGUUCUAUUUUGCAGGAAUGGAGACAACAUCAAUAUUGCUUACAUGGACAAUGAUUGUACUUAGCAUGCACCCGGAGUGGCAGGACCGUGCAAGGGAGGAGGUUCUUGGCCUAUUUGGAAAACACAAACUCGAGUAUGAGGGUGUUAAUCGGCUCAAAAUUGUGACAAUGAUUCUAUAUGAAGUUCUUCGGUUGUACCCACCGGCUACUGUAUUCACCCGGAAAACAUACAAGAAGAUUGAGAUUGGAGGCAUCACGUACCCAGCCGGUGUGAUGUUUGAGAUGCCAGUGUUGUACAUCCACCACGACACGGACAUUUGGGGAGAAGAUGUGCACCAAUUCAACCCGGAUAGGUUUGCCAAGGGGAUCUCCAAGGCGUCCAAGGACCCGGGCGCAUUUUUCCCAUUCGGUUGGGGGCCACGGAUCUGUAUCGGCCAGAACUUCGCGUUGCUCGAGGCCAAGAUGGCAUUGUGCAUGAUCCUUCAACGCUUUGAGUUUGAGCUCGCACCGUCAUACACCCAUACGCCGCAUAGCGUGAUGAUGUUGCGUCCCAUGCAUGGUGCUCCGAUUAGGCUUCACACUAUCUCUUCGUAA
rnacentral:rRNA from 1 species